UCCGUUAUGGUGGAGUGGCUGACAUUAUCGCCUCUCAUAGAACUGCAACCAACUCAAUUCAUUGGCGAGCGCGAUAGCCCGGGGUUUGAUUCCCUGUAACGGAA